AAUAGAUACCCCGGUAGUCCAUGCCGUAAACGAUGUCUACUAGCCGUUGGGGCCCUUGAGGCUUUAGUGGCGCAGCUAACGCGAUAAGUAGACCGCCUGGGGAGUACGGUCGCAAGACUAAAACUCAAAUGAAUUGACGGGGGCCCGCACAAGCGGUGGAGCAUGUGGUUUAAUUCGAUGCAACGCGAAGAACCUUACCUGGCCUUGACAUACAGAGAACUUUCCAGAGAUGGAUUGGUGCCUUCGGGAACUCUGAUACAGGUGCUGCAUGGCUGUCGUCAGCUCGUGUCGUGAGAUGUUGGGUUAAGUCCCGCAACGAGCGCAACCCUUUUCCUUAUUUGCCAGCACUUCGGGUGGGAACUUUAAGGAUACUGCCAGUGACAAACUGGAGGAAGGCGGGGACGACGUCAAGUCAUCAUGGCCCUUACGGCCAGGGCUACACACGUGCUACAAUGAUCGGUACAAAGGGUUGCUACUGCGCGAGCAGAUGCUAAUCUCAAAAAGCCGAUCGUAGUCCGGAUCGC
rnacentral:rRNA from 1 species